CGCCCCCCUCGGUUUCGUCCGGGGAUGCCGCUUAGGCGGAGGCGGCGGCGGAGGCGCAGCCUCUCUCUUGGGGUGGCUGCCCUGCCUGUUUUCUUUUUUAAUGGGGCAGUGUAGUAGAGAGCAGGUUGUGUGUGUAGGGGGGUAGAACGGACCGCCUGCCUGCCUUGCGGCUAACUAUCCGCGCCUCCUCCUCGCUGGGGACGCGCAGCCCCUCAGAGCCGCGCGCUCAAGUUUUUGACCAGUUCUUGCUGGGAGGCGGCGUCCGCUGCUGCUGCCUGGGAUCCCUCCUUAUCGCCAGCCCCGCGAUUUCUGGGGAAACGCACACGGAGGCUCUGGCACGCAGCGGAGCCGAUGGGGGUGAAGGAGGCGGACCGAGCCCAGCAGGUGCAGCAACAGGUGUACUAUCAAGACUUGGAAACACUCUGAACUGAAAUGCACUGAAGCCUGACAACUCUCAUCUAAUAAGCUGAUGAACUUUGGUACUUGGUUUGCAAUUGAUCCAUAAGAAUUCCAAGUGACAGGUAGUGUAAACAUCCUACACUCUCAGCUGUGUGGAUAAGAAGAAAGCUGGGAGAAGGCUGUUUACUCUUUCUGACUUGGAAAGCAGCGAAAGGAAGGAAAACACUAUGAUCUCGCAAAGUUUUUGUAAACCUCUUUUCUGUUUACUUCUUCAUUAGGUAAUUCUGUGUUUGUAUUUUGAACCAGUUGACUAUUCCCUGGUGUGAAGCUUUUAAUUAGAAAAUAAUGAAUAAAUAAAGUUUCAGGGUUUUUCAAAUAAUUAUUUUCUGCAUGAGAUAAGGUUGGAAACUAAAGAAAAUCACUUUCCUGAAAACAGCUUAGUGAUCCUAUAUGUCAGCAGCAAUGUACGUAAGUGUACGUAACAAUUAAUGAACAAGUUGCCUUCUUUUACUGAGUACUGUAAUUGUCAUUUAAAAUGGAAUAAAACUAAUAUUAGGUUACAGAGAUGUAAGUUAACGGGAAACUUCUCGAUAAUCAUGAUUUUUAUAGGUAGAUAUAGACAUAACUCUCUCAAUCUCGCUUUCUUUGUGUGUGUGUGUGUGUGUGUGUGUGUGUGUACAUGUACAUGUACAUGUACACAUGCACAUGUACUUUUUUCUGCGCAUAGGAUAAGAAAAUGAUGGUCCAAAAUCUAUUACAAUUUCGAGAGAAAAAAGCCCUGGUCGUGAAAAAUAGUAUUGAAAGCAUUCUACCGUAUUUUUCGCUCCAUAAGACACACCUUUCCAUAAGAUGCACCAAUUUUUUAGGAGAAGAAAACAGGA